CUCGGCUCACUGCAUCCUUGACCACCUCCCGAGGCUCAGAUGAUUCUCCCACCUCGACUUUGCAAGUGGCUGGGACUUUUGAAAAUGUCUCUUCAGAUUCAUUAAUUGAACGGACCUCCCCCUCCUCACUGCGUCUUCCAGGCUAGAGUGAAGUGGUGUGAUCUCGG